AGUGCGUCCUGCUGUGUGUGCCGUCAUGAAACAAACUCUCUGUUUACCUCUGCCUAAGAGUUCACAGGAUCACUUAAACAACAGCACCAAAAAAACCCUCAGCAAGCAAAACCAAAACAAAAAAAACCACCCACCCAAAAAAACCCUCUGCAUGAAACAUGUUACCCCCCUGCCUGACGCUCCCCGCCUGGGAGGACCCGUCUGCCCCAGCUCUUUUCUGCUUUUCGUGAGGAUCCCAGCCUCCUGCCCUCUGCCAGUGCUGUCGCCAUCGCAGCCGAGGAGCACGUGCCCUGUGGCACCCCGUAGCCACGACUGAAGCUGUGAAGUUGGUUUCCUACCAUGGAUGAGCAUCACCAUACGGGACAGACCAGCACCAUUGAGCGGGUCCCUUUCCUUUCGCAGCCAGACCUGCCAUGUGCAGGCUGGCGAGGGUGGAAGUUCCGUGCCAGCUGCCUUUUGUGUAUUUUAAGUUAAAUUUUAACCUUUUUUUUUUUUUUUUUUUUUUGCGACUGCGAAGGCUGCUCGUGGAUCUGGUGAAUUUGAAGCUAGCAGGCAAGCGCAAAAGUAUGCAUAUGCUUAAACACACAACCUUUACUUUAAACUGUUCCAGCCCUAAUUGCCAGGGCUGAAGUCCAGCCUCCCGGGGACUUAAAUUUCUCUUUUAACAGCUGAUGACUUCACCAGCGCCCGCAGCAGCCUUGCUCUGCCGGAGCAUCUGUGCCUGUUGAGGAGGCCAACUAGCUGCAAAUCCCGGCUGGGGUGGUGUCCUCUGGUCGGAUCUCUGUCCGUCUGGCUUCCCAUGCAUGGCUCCAGCCGCAGCAGUUAGCGUGCUCCUCCUCCUCCGCAGCUCUGCCUUCGCUUUUGCUUGUGCUCUGUCAGAGCUGAUCACCUCGUGCCAACAAAGACAGACAAAAUAAAGAUACAAUAAAUAUGAAAAUAAAGAGGCCGCUGGCCGGCAUACCAAAA